AUGUACACAAUGCAAGCCUGCCUUAACAAAUGCAUUUACAUUUAUCAAAUAUAUAGUUAUCAAAGCAGUCAUUAGGAAGUUAUCCAGAUCAUAAUAUUCACCCGGCUCAACGUUAUGACGAAUAUUUUAAGUCAAGAAAACGCACAAAUGACAUCAAAUUACGUCAUGUACAAGCAAACAUUUGACGGAAAGAUGGUGCUUAUUCGAAAUAGAAGUGAGCAGCUGGUAUUGAAUAUUGAAUGUGCAUACACAUACACAAAAUAUAAACACUGUGCUCUGAUCAUAGCAAUAUGAUUUAGAAUA
rnacentral:lncRNA from 1 species